rnacentral:rRNA from 1 species
GACGAACGCUGGCGGCGUGCUUAACACAUGCAAGUCGAACGGAGAGGCCCUGCUUUUGUGGGGUGCUCGAGUGGCGAACGGGUGAGUAUCACGUGAGUAACCUGCCCUUGACUUUGGGAUAACUUCAGGAAACUGGGGCUAAUACCGGAUAGGAGCUCCUGCUGCACGGUGGGGGUUGGAAAGUUUCGGCGUUUGGGGAUGGACUCGCGGCUUAUCAGCUUGUUGGUGGGGUAGUGGCGUACCAAGGCUUUGACGGGUAGCCGGACUGAGAGGGUGACCGGCCACAGUGGGCCUGAGGUAGGGGCCAGACUCCUACGGGAGGCAGCAGUGGGGAAUAUUGCGCAAUGGGCGGAAGCCGGAUGCAGCAACGCCGCGUGCGGGAUGACGGCCUUCGGGUUGGAAACCGCUUUCGCGUGUGACGAAGCGUGAGUGACGGUAAUGGGUAAAGAAGCAACGGCUAACUACGUG